rnacentral:lncRNA from 1 species
GCCACUCCACUUAAAUUGGCUGCCGUUUCUUUUCCUUUGCUCCGCCUGAACAACCUAUCUGCUAAGUCUGCUCCUCUUCAAGUUUUGAUUGUUGUCGGUAACUAGUUUUCCUCUUACUCUCUAUUUUCCCCACUAAUUUUAUAUCUUCAUUCUGUUUUCGAACAAUAUUAGGUAGAUUAGCUUCCCUAAAUGCAUCAUUUUUUCAACUAUAUUUAGGUAUAAAUAUAUGCAAACCGAAAUCUUUUUGUUUUUAUAUUAUAUGAUUUUGAUUGUAAUGUAAAAAAAUGGCUUCACAAAAGAGUCAGCAGCAAGUACCAGUUAAUGGUAACCCGUCUGCCGCAUGAAGCCUAAAUAAACCAAUAUCCAAAAUGAAGACCCAUGAGAUUCAUUAUUAUUUCAUGACACAAUAUUUUUUGGUACAUUAAAAUUGUUUUCAGAAUUUCUGUAUAAUUUUGAUUAUUGGAGGAGGACAGGCACUUCUCAGACAACGGGGGUUUAUUUAUUUCUAUAAAAAACUACCUUUUGCACGGUGCCUACAAAAAGCUGCUUAUCACGAUUGGAGGGUGUUCUGCUUUUUUUGCUAAGCAUUCCUUCAAAUUAAAAGUAGCCAAAUUAUUUGUGUUAAUUUUCCUCCUUUAUUAGGCGAUGAUGAGUUGCUAACACGUAAGAAGAUCUAAUUUAAGCUUGGAUCAGCUUGGAUCUUCGAUGAAAUUCACUUGUUACGCUUGGCUUCUGAGCUUUGUCUAUUAAAUGGUUAUUUAUUUUUAAAGUCCGAGUUACAAAACCUGAUGAUAAAAGCAGGGAUCAAUUGCCUUAUUUGUGAAUUGGUCUCUCGUAAACGUCAGGGAAAUCAGAAUUGCAUUGUUAUUGGGUGAACCACUUGACCAUUUUCAUGAUGGAAUGGUUCAGUAAACGAUGAUACAUAUUUAUUCUAGAUACUAUUGUUUUUGUUGUGCUAGAUGUCUACUGAUUAAUGCUUGUGUCCAAAGUUGAAGAUAACAGCUGUUUUAGGUGUUUAGCUCAUACUGUUUUAGCAGUUUAGCAAAUUCAGCUGAGCAAUUUCCUAUGCCAUAAGUUCUACACCAUUAGACAGUCUCGAGAUCACAUAUUUCCUAUGUUUACUUUUUUUCCUGGAGUAUUCACUGCUUACGGCUUGCGGGGCAUUGCCAGAUAUAGUCCGAUGAUUAACAAUUUAACAAUAGCAAACCAACCUUGAUUAUGGUAGUGUACUUAUCUUGAGAUGUCGAGCGGAUUAUACAAAGAAGUAGCUCCAAAAGGUUAAAC